rnacentral:rRNA from 1 species
AUGUUCCUCAACUCUGCUCCCCGCCGUAUAUAUAGCACCGUGCAUCGCUGCUCAACAUCCUCAUCACCAUCAGCUCACGCUCGCACUCACCCAGAGAGAAGCGGCAGCCAGGGCAGCUACUCGACCAAGGCUAGCAGUUCGUGCCCGGCUCCGGCGGGAGGAGGGUUGUCGAUGGCGUUCAUGCGGUACCGUGCGCUGCCGCAGGGGGAGGUGACGGCGGAGGAGUUCUGGGCCCGGGACGAGCUGCAGCGCGCGCUGCGGAGCCUCAACCUGUGGUUCGCGUCCUGGAAGGCGCGGGAAGGGGUGCAGGCCGCGGACGCCAACCGCGACGGUACCGUCGGCAAGGAGGAGGCCGGCCGGCUCUUCGCCUACGCGCAGAGGCAGCUCGGCGGCAAGAUCACGCAGCUCGGCUCCUACUGA